GGUUUCUAUGAUUGGUGUCAAACG
rnacentral:siRNA from 1 species